rnacentral:misc_RNA from 1 species
UUGAAUUUGUAGCCUCCAAGGCUCACAUUCUCUAUCCUUUACACACCUGUGCACCCUUCUGAAGCGGAGAGUUAUUAGGCGUUAGCCGAGCGCCUCCCUUCGGUUAUUAUAUCAAACUCAAACUACGUUUACUAGAAUGUAUACCGUCUUGUUGUAACGACAAGUACAAUCCAAUA